AAGAAAAAAAACUUCAAAGCUGCUUCUAGCAGUGGUGCCCCUGGUGUGCACCUUUACCCCAAAUGUCUGCACCUUUGCCUACCGCUGCCUCUGCGAAC
rnacentral:lncRNA from 1 species